rnacentral:rRNA from 1 species
GGGCCCGCACAAGCGGUGGAGCAUGUGGUUUAAUUCGAUGAUACGCGAGGAACCUUACCAGGGCUUAAAUGUAAGUUGCAUAGAUCAGAGAUGGUCUUUUCUUCGGACUACUUACAAGGUGCUGCAUGGUUGUCGUCAGCUCGUGCCGUGAGGUGUCAGGUUAAGUCCUAUAACGAGCGCAACCCCUGUCGUUAGUUACCAGCAAGUAAUGCCGGGAACUCUAGCGAAACUGCCGGUGCAAACCGUGAGGAAGGUGGGGAUGACGUCAAAUCAUCACGGCCCUUACGUCCUGGCUACACACGUGCUACAAUGGUCGGUACAGAGAGCAGCCACUACGCGAGUAGGAG